UACGAAGGGGGCUAGCGUUGUUCGGAAUCACUGGGCGUAAAGCGCACGUAGGCGGACUUCUAAGUCAGGGGUGAAAUCCCAGGGCUCAACCCUGGAACUGCCCUUGAUACUGGAAGUCUCGAGUCCGGGAGAGGUGAGUGGAACUCCGAGUGUAGAGGUGAAAUUCGUAGAUAUUCGCAAGAACACCAGUGGCGAAGGCGGCUCACUGGCCCGAUACUGACGCUGAGGCACGAAAGCGUGGGGAGCAAACAGG
rnacentral:rRNA from 1 species